ACAGAGGGUACAAACGUUGCUCGGAAUCACUGGGCAUAAAGCGCGCGUAGGCGGUCCACCCAGUCAGAUGUGAAAGCCCUCGGCUCAACCGAGGAACUGCAUUUGAUACUAGUGGGCUAGAGGAUGGUAGGGGUGUGUGGAACUUCAGGUGGAACGGUGAAAUGUAUUGAUAUCUGAAGGAACACCUGUGGCGAAAGCGGCACACUGGGCCAUUUCUGACGCUGAGGCGCGAAAGCUAGGGUAGCGAACGGG
rnacentral:rRNA from 1 species